rnacentral:siRNA from 1 species
AGAUAUGGGUCUCUCCACCUAUUG